UCUAAGUUGUCACUUCGUUUCGGUGUAAUCAUCGGUACUUUCGGCUGAAGUUAUCUCGUCUUCUAUUUUUUGUUUUCUUUGGUUUUUGUUAUAGUUUCUUAUUUUCCGUGUAUUGGUGACUCUCACUGUGAAUUUGCGUUGACAAUUAUCUUGGGUUAUUGUCAUUAAGUUUUAUUUCUGUGAUUGUUUAUCUCGAAAAGUUUGGACAAAGUUUGUGCUUGGGAGUGGCGGUGUGUGAGUGCGCGUGUUGUCAUGUCUGAGAAAAACUUUUUGUGCCUUACUUUAAUCUGAUCGGAAAGAAACUGGUGCUGUUUUAGAAAAUGGAAGCAAGCGUAGUGGACAUUGCUUCGAUAAGAAACAAAAGCAUCCCUAGCUGUGCUGUCACCUGCAUUCUAUAUUGAGGCAGAGUUUUGCAAUGAGACGCACCUUAAGUUUAAACUAAAAUUUUCAUCCAAAAUGUCAGAUCAAGAUCUGAAUUCCGAGAGAACACAAUUUGUGACAAGAAAUUAGAAGAAGUGCAAUCAUCACUGUUUUAGAUCAAAUAUAUAUUGAGGUGACUAUAUGUAGCAAUGCCUCAACUUAAACAACUGUAAAUGUAUAAUUUUCACUAUUGUAGUAGUUAGAAUUGGUAUUGUGCAAUGAGAAUAUCAUUCAAUAAAUAAAUAAAAUAAUGAAACCUAAA